AAAUCGGCCCUUUUCAGGGCCAAAGAAAUGAAGCCAGAAGGCCCCCU
rfam:Trichomalopsis sarcophagae strain Alberta scaffold7445, whole genome shotgun sequence.